UCCCAAGUCUAAACUCCGUCGACAACCUUAGACUCCAACUGCCACGCGGUGCCGGCCGCCGACCUGCUUUCUCAAGACAAAAGGAAUCCUCCAUUUCCACUUCCUCUCUCUAUAUAUAUAUAUAUCCAUCUUCUUCCUAUCUUCUAUAUUCAAAUCUUUUUUCUCCCUUUUAACUCCCUAGCAUUAAUAUCUCUUCCAAAUUACUCCACCCGUAGCCUCGUUUUCAGCUUAGAAAUUCAAGGAUGAAUCACAACCAGCCAUCAGCAGGUGCAUAUCCAACACAGUGAACAUCCACGGCGUCGGAACCUUAUGUGAUUGCACCACCAGUUGGUUAUCCGAUGAGUAAAGAUGAGCCCCAAAUACCGGUUGCAAUCGAAACCAAGUCAGAGGUGACGGAUUCUGGAAAGGAUGUUGCGCAGCCCUGUGUUGCUGUUGUGUCCUGGAUGCAUGCUUUUGAAGCGUUCUUGUAUUUCACGGUUUGUUUGAUGCUUCCAUUGUUUAUGGAUUAUAGUUUGAUGAUGGCAACAAUAGGGUUUGCUUUCCUUUCUCAUUUUGUAUAAACGGGACGGUUCAUCUUCAUUUUGAAUAAAACUAUUGCUACUCCGUUUGACUUUUUCU